rnacentral:tRNA from 1 species
GGCCCUUUGGCAGAGGAAGUUAAUGCGCCCGCCUGAAAAGCGGGAGAUCUUGGUGCGAUUCCAAGGGGGGCCA